CCGCCGCGGUAACACAUGCAAGCCGAGGGGUAUUUAGGAGCUUGCUUCUAGAGAGACCGGCGCACGGGUGCGUAACGCGUAUGUAACUUACCUGUAUCACAGGGAUAGCCCUUCGAAAGGAGGAUUAAUACCAGAUAACAUUUUAUGUGGCAUCACAGAAAAUUAAAAGAUUUAUCGGAUAAAGAUAGACAUGCGUAGGAUUAGUUAGUUGGUAAGGUAACGGCUUACCAAGACGAUGAUCCUUAGGGGGCCUGAGGGGGUGAACCCCCACACUGGAACUGAGACACGGACCAGACUCCUACGGGAGGCAGCAGUGAGGAAUAUUGGACAAUGGGUGAGAGCCUGAUCCAGCCAUCCCGCGUGAAGGACUACAGCCCUAUGGGUUUUAAACUUCUUUUGUAUGAGAAUAAACCUAUCUACGAGUAGAUAGCUGAAGGUAUCAUACGAAUAAGCAUCGGCUAACUCCGUGCCAGCCGCCGCAGUAA
rnacentral:rRNA from 1 species